rnacentral:rRNA from 1 species
CUACUCCGUGCCAGCAGCCGCGGUAAUACGGAGGGUGCAAGCGUUAUCCGGAUUUAUUGGGUUUAAAGGGUCCGCAGGCGGACCAAUAAGUCAGUGGUGAAAUCUCUCGGCUCAACCGAGAAACUGCCAUUGAUACUGUUGGUCUAGAGUGUAGUUGGCGUAGGCGGAAUAUAUCAUGUAGCGGUGAAAUGCUUAGAUAUGAUAUAGAACACCGAUCGCGAAGGCAGCUUACGAAACUACAACUGACGCUCAGGGACGAAAGCGUGGGGAGCGAACAGGAUUAGAUACCCUGGUAGUCCACGCUGUAAACGAUGAUUACUCGUUGUCGGCGAUAUACUGUCGGUGGCUAAGCGAAAGUGAUAAGUAAUCCACCUGGGGAGUACGAUCGCAAGGUUGAAACUCAAAGGAAUUGACGGGGGCCCGCACAAGCGGAGGAGCAUGUGGUUUAAUUCGAUGAUACGCGAGGAACCUUACCUGGGCUUAAAUGCUUAAUGACGUACUGGGAAACCGGUAUUUCUUCGGACAUUUUGCAAGGUGCUGCAUGGUUGUCGUCAGCUCGUGCCGUGAGGUGUCGGGUUAAGUCCCAUAACGAGCGCAACCCCUAUCGUUAGUUGCCAUCAGGUAAUGCUGGGGACUCUAACGAAACUGCCCGCGUAAGCGUGGAGGAAGGCGGGGAUGACGUCAAAUCAGCACGGCCCUUACGUCCAGGGCUACACACGUGCUACAAUGGCCGGUACAGAGGGCAGCCACUUGGUGACAAGGAGCAAAUCUCAAAAGCCGGUCUCAGUUCGGAUCGGAGUCUGCAACUCGACUCCGUGAAGUUGGAUUCGCUAGUAAUCGUAGAUCAGCAAUGCUACGGUGAAUACGUUCCCGGGCCUUGUACACACCGCCCGUCAAACAAUGGAAGCUGGGGGUACCUAAAGUCCGUAACCGUAAGGAGCGGCCUAGGGUAAAACUGGUAACUGGUGUUAAGUCGUAACAAGGUAAC